CUGACGCUAAAGCUCGAAAGCGCGGGUAUCGAACAGGAUUAGAUACCCUGGUAGUCCGCGCGGUAAACGAUGGAUGCUCGUUGUGCGGCCUUUUUGGCCGCGCGACCAAGCGAAAGCGUUAAGCAUCCCACCUGGGGAGUACGCCGGCAACGGUGAAACUCAAAGGAAUUGACGGGGGCCCGCACAAGCGGAGGAACAUGUGGUUUAAUUCGAUGAUACGCGAGGAACCUUACCCGGGCUUGAACUGCAGCGGAAGGAUACAGAGAUGUUGACGCCCUUCGGGGCCGCUGUGGAGGUGCUGCAUGGUUGUCGUCAGCUCGUGCCGUGAGGUGUCGGCUUAAGUGCCAUAACGAGCGCAACCCUUUUCAUUAGUUGCCAUCAGGUGAAGCUGGGCACUCUGGUGAUACUGCCACCGUAAGGUGUGAGGAAGGUGGGGAUGACGUCAAAUCAGCACGGCCCUUACGUCCGGGGCUACACACGUGUUACAAUGGGGAGUACAGAGAGUCGAGUGCCGGCAACGUCAUUCCAAUCAACAAAGCUCUCCUCAGUUCGGAUUGGGGUCUGCAACCCGACCCCAUGAAGCUGGAUUCGCUAGUAAUC
rnacentral:rRNA from 1 species